GAAUCAUGUAUUUCCAUGGUUUCUGCACGUUCUUGGCUUCCCAGGGUUCUCCUCUGCAGUUUGGGUAAAAGCUAGACCUGUUCUCACCAGGGAGAGGAGCCACAGAUGCCCAGGCCCAGUCCUUCCUCGUGCUCACGGACCCCAUCGAGGCGUGUGGGCCCCUGGGGACGGCACAGGCACUGGAAGGUGUGAGCCCCUAGCAGGGUCCUGGCAUCUCUCUGUCAUCAGCCAGCCCAGUGACCUGGGGCCUGGCCCUGCUCCCGGAACCUAUGCCUCAUCUGUAAACAGGGAAAGGGUCCCAACCCUCUCCAGCCGCGUGUGAAAGCGUUACCCAUGUGAGAAGGGGUUACAGUUAGACCCUGUGGAACAGCAGACCCCGCCACGCCAUGCCCAGGCUCAUGGAUGUGUGGGCUGAAGGCAUGACCUCGCCCCCCCUCCUCAACCUGGUCCGAGCCUGUGGGAGUAUUUCCCGGUCGUCCCCGUGGGCCCGUCUACCUUCACCGCUGCUCGUCGGCUUUGGGGACAGAAAUCACAUCGGGCGCCAUGGAGAGACGGAGACCUCCAGGUAAGAAGAGCGUCCCCGCUGAGACGGCCUGCCGCCCCCUCCCCCCGCAGAGAGACCCGGCGGUGCCCGCAAGCUCUCCCUGUCCCCUCCUGCGUCCCACAGCCCUGAUGAACGACCAGCAGGACAGCCCCUCGCAGACCCUCACCCUACUCACUGGGGCCUCAGCGGGAGGUCAAGUCUCCCUUCUGGAGCCUUCUCUGUCCCACGUCCGUCCUUCCGUCUGGCUGAGGAAAGUUCUCCCAGAUCUGGGAGCUGAGCGGGAGCCAAGUGAGCAGACGUGGACGGUGCUGACCUCGAGCCUCGGGGCAGGGGGCGUGAGGGCACUGCGGGGGGAAGGGCAGCCGGAGCCUCGCUCAGAGACUCACUCGGGCUCUGCACGGCCCCCCGGCUUCCUGUCGGCCUUGAAGGGCCGAGGUCGGAGGCGAGGAAGGAUUCUGACACUGUGGGGAGCCGGGGCCCCGUCCUCAGUUCCGCUUCCCUCUGUCCGGAGUCCGUGUGAUUUGUGUCCCGAACGGAGCUCGCGUCAUCUGUCUCCUGCCCAGUGAGCCUCGGCGGCGAGAAGCAGGGACACUCUGUCCCUUGGUUCAAAAUGGGGACACGAGGACCAUAAUCACGCAGCAGACACUGUUCCGAGCACUUUUCAUGAUGAACUCAUUUACGCUCCCAACCGCCUUGUUUCCAUCAGCAUCUCACCGCCGAGAAGACAGGGCCGUCCCAGAGUCCCCAAGGCCCCGUGGUGAGGGUUUGGGGCCCUGGGUUGGCGGACCCGGGAGCGACGCCCCCCAGCCGAGCUCUCAGCCAGCACGCCGCGCCGCCUCCAUCCUCCCAGGGUGCGAGGUCGUGGCCACCCACCCGCAGGCUGCCCGUCCCUCUGUCUCUCCUCCGUGGCUCUGUCCUUCCGCACGACUGCAGCUCUGGCCCUGACAAGCCUCGGGCCGCUGUCCGGACGAGGGGGCAGGGAAGGAAGACGUGAAGACGCGCGUUGCCGCGGGCGUGAUCACGCGCACCGGGCUGCUCGCACGGGUCGGACGCGCUCGCGUCUGGCUGACAGCCCUCUCCUGCCUGUGCGCGGGGUCGAGCUCCCUGCCGACCCCUCCUCUGGGCCCUCGUCGUCCUCACCCUGCCGUCCGUCCCCACACCUCCCACCACCCUCACGCCCCCCAGGAGAACCUUUCUGCUCUUCCCCGAACGAUCCCCGAGUUCCAACAAUGCUGCCUUUUGCCAAGGCGUCAGCUUCACCUAUGGAAGGAAACUCAUGGGAUUUUCUGUGAUGAACCAUCCAAAAGGGAGGGACAUAGGGAGUGGGUUGUAUGGAUUAGUCAAAUGAUAACCAGGCCGGUCCAGUCACCCACGGCCCGGGCAGCUGACCCUGUGACCAGGGACACGCUCCUGGCUCCGGUGUGAAGACGGGAUGGCCCGAGAGCUCGUUCUCGCGUGUGUCACACCGCGUGCAUUCAAACGCCAGCAGGCAGGCAACCGCCCGGGGACAGCCGGGGACAGCGUGAGCCCAGGACACAAUGGAGUCUUUGUGUUUCCAUCUGCAGCGAAGAGAGGAAAACAGCCUCGAUCAACAGCUGACGCACAUGGCCGCUGGGUUGUCAAACAGACACGGCCUUCCAGCGGGCUCCGUAGAGCCACGCCCCAGCUCCCUUGUCGUUGCGCUCCGUCCACGUUACGCUCCUGGGAGGCUGCCCCCUCGGGACAGGGCUGCAGACCAACGACAGGAUGAAGACAAGAAAGAGUGAUCCUGAUUUCCACUCGGUGUUGGAACAACGACACCACUGACGGCGCCCGCGGGACGUUCGACGCCCGACCGUCUCCCUCCUCCUUCCCGGCGGAGGCCGGCUCAGCCGCCGUCUGGCUGAAGAGCGGCAGCUGGUGUGUACGGAGUGUGUGGCGGCAGAGAGUGCGGCUCGCCUCGUCCGAGGGCCUCCCUCGGGACCAGGCUUCUUGAGCCCUUGGGGCGGCGGCGGCCACACGGCCGGACUGGGGCCGUGGGUGUGCGUACAGUCCAGAUGGGCCACCAGGUGGCCGGUGUGGGUCCUGCCAGCCUCGUCACUCUCCCCUGGCCCCUGGAUUUGCCAGUCCUGGACCAGAGGAGGACCAAACCGAAGGCCCCACGGCUGGUGCCCAGUGGACACGCGGCGCCAUCACAGAGCGUCUGCUACGAGUCGGACCCCGUCCCAACACCUGCGGCUGAGGCCGCCCUUUCACAGCUCCGUGUGCCGCGGCCGCUCUGGGCAAAGCCAGGGGAGUGCACUCCUGACCCAGGUUUCCAGUGCGACAUGCGUUCCACCGGGCAUGACUCCUGCUUGGUUUCUCUGCAUCCCGAUGGAUUUCGAAUCCCAUAUUUGUUACCUCCAAUGCAGUCAUCUUCAAAGAACCCACUGGCUCAGAUAUCUGCAUUAAUCAUAAACUCAGUCUCUCAGAGAAAAGCUCGUGCCCAGGGCUCCCUUCCACGCUCCACACCACGGCAGAAGAUCCCAGGACCGCAAGCAAGACCUAAAAAUACUCCAUGGCCUCAAUUAGGAAGAGCAGUUGGUGCAAGGAAACUGAGCCAGAUGGGGUCGGGAGCUUCUCCUGGCCUUCUCACAGGGGCAGCGGGGUCCCCAGCGGACAGGGCCUGGGGACAAACAGGCUUCCAAGUGUAACGUGCUGCUCGGGUCAGAGCUUGGAGCCUUCCAGAACUCAGCCCGGGCUCCACCCCUCAGGCAGGCCAGCUAGACAGGCUCAUUUCUCACAAA